GACGAACGCUGGCGGCGUGCCUAAUGCAUGCAAGUCGAGCGGGCUACGAUCUUCGGAUUGUAGCUUAGCGGCGAACGGGUGAGUAACACGUAGGUGAUCUACCCUUCAGAGGAGGACAACCUCAGGAAACUGAGGCUAAACCUUCAUACGUUCACUGGUAGGGAUACUGGUGAAGAAAGAGUUACCUUAGUGGUAGCUGCUGAAGGAUGAGCCUGCGGCCCAUCAGGUAGUUGGUGAGGUAACGGCUCACCAAGCCGAAGACGGGUAACCGGUCUGAGAGGAUGUCCGGUCACACUGGGACUGAGACACGGCCCAGACUCCUACGGGAGGCAGCAGUCGAGAAUAGUCUACAAUGGCCGGAAGGCUGAUAGUGCGACGCCGCGUGAACGAGGGAGCCCUUCGGGGUGUAAGUUACUUUUCUUAUACGAGCAGUGCUAUAUAUAUGAUAGUAUAUAUAGAGGGAUAGUAGUAUAGGAAUAAGACAACGGCUAACUACCG
rnacentral:rRNA from 1 species